rnacentral:rRNA from 1 species
GAUGAACGCUGGCGGCGUGCCUAACACAUGCAAGUCGAGCGGAGAAUUGUUGCUUGCCACGAUUCUUAGCGGCGGACGGGUGAGUAACACGUGGGUAUCCUGCCCUCAACACAGGGGUAACACUGAAAAAACAUUGCUAAUACCGUAUAAGCUUACACUAUCGCCUGAUAGAGUAAGAAAAGAUUUAUCCGUUUAGGAGGGGCCCGCGUCUGUUUAGCUUGUUGGAGGGGUAACGGCUCACCAAGGCGACGAGCAGUAGCCGACCUGAGGGGGUGAGCGGCCACAGGGGGACUGAGACACGGCCGAAACUCCUGCGGGAGGCAGGAGGGGGGAAUAUUGCACAAGGGAGGAAACUCUGAUGCAGAAGCGGCGCGUGAAGGAAGAAGGUUUUCGGAGUGUAAACUUCUAUCUACAGGGAAGACAAAAAUGACGGUACCUGAGUAAGAAGCCCCGGCUAACUACGUG